rnacentral:SRP_RNA from 1 species
GCCGGGCGCAGUGGCAUGUGCCUAUAGUCCCAGCUACUCCGGAGGCUGGGGUGGGAGGAUCGCUUGAGCCCAGGAGUUCUGGGCUGUAGUGCACUAUGCCAAUCAGGUGUCUGCACUAAGUUCGGCAUCAACAUGGUGAUCUCCCGGGAGCAGGGGACUACCAGGUUGCCUAAGGAGGGGUGAACCGGCCCAGGUCAGAAAUGGAGGUCAAAACUCCCGUGCUGAUCAGUAGUGGGGUCGCGCCUGUGAAUAGCCACUGCACUCCAGCCUGGGCAACAUAGCGAGACUCCAUCUCU